rnacentral:tRNA from 1 species
UAGCUUAGCGGCAUAAGCGCCUGCCUUGCAAGCAGGCAGUCGUGAGUUCGAUCCCCGC